rnacentral:lncRNA from 1 species
AAAUUCUCAAUUUAGGGAUGGAGGAUGAGAUGACAAGAUAGUUAUUAGCGGAAGCAAAAGACAUCGUGGAACCCUAGCCUCAGCUCAGCCUCGUCUGCACCAACUGAUCAACCUGAAAACAUUUGAAAAUAAUUUGGGCUGAGUACUAAUGUACUCAGUGGGCACAAGUUUUCGAAAUAUUUUAUGAAAUAAUCGAAGCAGUUUAUCCAAUAUCACAAUCAUGACUUAGAAGGUUUUAAAACGGAAUCCCACUUCUAAGCAUGACAAAACUUUUCUUCAUUUAGUGGCGCGCCAUGUACGUUCGAUUGUUACUCACUUUCUCCCUACAUUCACUGAUCUCGGGACGCACCCAGUCAGAUCCAAAAUCUGUUAUUGAUCUCGGGACGCACCCGGUCGGAAUCAAUAACCUUAACUGUGCUCCGGAUAACCUCCUGUCAAGCACCGUGCUCCGGAUAACCUCCUGUCAAGCACCCACCCUUAUAACGUUCUAAAUCUGUUAGUGCACGAUGGCGAUCAACCCAUCGAGCCACUAACCCUGUGUACACAAUCCUCAUUUAGCGUGUUAGGCCAAAUGAGAAUCUCGAUCGAUACUUAAGCGAGCCUUAAACAAUUACAGAACGCGCAUAAAAACAUUUAUAUUGGAUAAACAGAUAAUUUUCAUGAAAUAUCAGAGCUUAUAUAACUCAAGAUACAUUGUAUGUAAAAUAAAAUCCACCUGAAUAGGCAAAGCCUGUAGUUUAAUCGUAAACCUGUCACGGGAAAGCAGUGCUAAUCCUCCUGGUCCUCAAGGCCUACAAGAAAUCUAUUCUUAAUAGGUCUCUUGGUGCUAUUCUAACUUCUAAAUAAAGAGGGGAAAAUCACUAACUAUUGAUACACUUUGCCCGAAUUAAUAAUCUCUGUGAAUCCAUAAACUUUUAAUACAUAAUUAGUAAUUUUAACAAAUAUAACUAACACUAAAUCUAAAAAUUAUUAAUCAUUUAAAGAAAAUAUAGAAUCUUAUUAUUGGAAGAAAAAUUAAUAUUUUUAUUAAAACAUUUACAGGUCCAAAGAAAAUAAUUUGAAGUCUUGUUAUUAAUAAAGCAGCCCAAGUAUUUUAUUAAGAAAGUAGAACCCAUUAGAAAUAAUAAAACCAGCCCACCAGUCAAUUAAAAAUACGGCCCAUAAAACUAAUAAAAUCAGCCCAAAACAAUUAAAGCCUAAAUUAAGCCCUAAAAUGAAAUUUAGAAAUAAGGACAAACUCUCUCUCUCUCUUCUCACCCACUGAACUCACGCCUCCCUCUCUCCCUCUCUCACACCCUUCGGCCACCCCUCUCCAGUCCAGUCACGCCGCCGCCGCCGCUGCCGCCGCAGCCACCCCGGCGAGGCUCGCCGCCAGUCGUCAGUUGCCAGUCGCCGCACGCCACUCCUCUCCUUCGCGUCCUCUGCGGCGGACGGCCGAGGAAGGCCGCCGCCGCUGCUGCCAUUUUCGCAGCGGGCCGCGCGCCUGGCCUCCGGCCGCGCCACCGUCAACCUCCGGCGAGCAAAACGAAGGCCACCCCGGCCCACUGUUCUCCCCUCUCCUCUCUGGCUUUGACGGACAGCAGCUGCCAGGCUGCCACCGCCGCUGCCGAGCUCCGAUUCAGACCAUGGCCGGCCGCGCCGCCUUCUUCGGCGUCACCUUGCCCAGCCGCCGUUCGCCUUCUCCCUCUUUUCCUCACGCGAAUCCGGCAGCAGCAGGCCCAGAAGGGAGCCGCCGCGCCGCCGCCCUCUCCGACAGGGCGGUGCUUAUGCAACCACCAAAAGAAAGGAACGGGAAUCCCCUUCUCACACUCUCGCGCUCCAACCCAUCCCAACAACGAAGGAAGAAUGUGACAGGAAGAUUUGUUCUUGAGAAAAAAUGAAUCUUGCAGAUGAGAAGUAAGGUAAGUUCUUGUAUAAUGGUGGGAAUUGGUUCUCGAGGAAGGAAGGGGAAAAGAAGGUCGAGUCUUGGUGUUUGUUGGUACAGAUUGUUCUUGAUCUAGCUAUUUUCUUAUUGUACAGAUUUUAUUAGUCUUAUUGUAGCUUGUGGUUUGCUAAAUUUUUACAAGUUAUGAAUAAAAGUCUACUGCCCAAGUUCAUGUCUAUGUGUGAGAUUUCAAGUCUAGUUCUAAUUUUGAUGUAGAGGGACACAUGCUGUGGUAUAAAGUUGAAGGGAGAAGAUCGAACCUUGUUCAGUUGGAUUUUGGUGAAUGUUUGAUGAAUGUGUAGUAGUAUCUGCUUGCCUUGAUAAGUGUCUUGAACUCUUGAGGUAGAAAUAUUCUUGCAGAUUCAGAGAUAGAAAAUGACAGAGUUUCAGAGAUGGAAAAUGACAGAGAAGGUUCUGAUGGGUUUGGGAGAGUUUUAAAAAAAAGAGAGUGAAGAGGUUGCAGAGAUAAGGCUCG